CCCUAGCCCAGACAGAAAUGGCAUCCUUUUAUGGCGGUCCCGAUAGCUAUCGGGAGCCAUAAAAGAUAUAAUGAAUGGCUGGAUUAGCU
rnacentral:sRNA from 2 species